AAAACACACACAUUGCAAUUUUAUUUCAUUUCAGUAACUGCAAAAAAUCCUCUAGCAGAAAAGGACACAGAAACUUCUAAAGCUCUUUUUCCCAUUAACUUCAAGUAACGCGUUCCUUCCAGAAAGGAAAUCUGUCUAUGUAGGAAGCUCCUCAAUCACUGCUCUGCAGCCUCUGCUUUUGUAAGAAAAUAGCAAGGAUAAUAAAAUUUUGCAUUUUAGCUUUUCCUAAUAUCACACAGUCCUAGCCAACCAACAGUUUAUUAUAACAUCAAGCAUCUGGGGCAGGACAUAAAAAGCACUACGGUUCCCACAUGACAAGUGGAUUUCAGACCAUUAUUAGCAACAGCAGAAUGGCCCACUCUAAUAACUAUAUGUAGGCUUUUAACAGUUUGAUUUUGCUUGUCAUUUUAAGACACUUCCAGUGCAUGCCAGAACUAAGACAAAAUCAAAGUGUGAGCAUCCUGUCAAGCAGCAUAGAGGAGAAAAUGCUACACAGACCAAUGGCAGGGACUUGUACUGAAAUUACUGCUCCGUAAGAUUUUUGUCAUCUCUAACAACUAAGUUGUACUUGAAAAAUAUAAAACCAACUUACUUGUGGCUAAAAACUUGGCGAACUCCCAGACACUUUUGCUGGGAAAAGCUAGUGCACUAGAUUUCCAACUUUCUUUUCUUACACAACUGCCAGUCAGGACUACCUGAGAAAGGAGUCAGAUACCAGUCAGGGGACUCCAGCGCUAACUGGAAAGUUACAGCCAGAAACAAAGGGGCAGGCACGUAGGGUGCCUACGUACAGCAGAACGGCCCCAGCACUAAUCAUCAAGGAAAAGGUAGAUAGUGCAGAAUCACCGAAUCAUUUAGGUUGGAAAAGACCUCUAGGAUCACGUAGCCCGACCUCCGAAGCACCACCCCCACUGCAGCACGCCAAGGCCGCACCCUGGGCGCACUCCUUGCUGCCCAGACGUGGUCCUACAUCCGAUGCUUGGGCUGGACCAAAGGAGCCACCUGCACCAUGGGGCGCUGCCAGAGGGGCUGUGCACUGCAAGGGACAGGGCAGCGCUCUCCGUGUACUUCUCUUCCAUGUGCUUAUCUCGGACCACCUAUGGGAACAGAUGGUGUUACCGCAAGGGCAAGGGGCUUCUGAGCCAGCACGGCUGCCGGAUGACGUGUGGCCAGUUUCCUCCGGCCCAGCAAACCAGCCCCAACGCUCCCACUGGGUCUGAUUUAACGGGUUUCUUUCUGAGGGACAACGAAGACCUCCCCUGCAUGGUAACAGCCGCAGCACGUUUGGCCAUGAAGAUCAGAUGCUGCUCUCAUACCAAUCUGGAAACAACCUUCAAAUAUAAGAACCCAGCGCACUGUGCAAAUAAGGAGAAAAGAGUUUACUUUGAUGGAAGUGGAUCAUGUGUUGUCUUGCCAGAAAAGUUCUGCUUCGUAGGUUGGCAUCCUUUUUUUUCUACUUGUCUUCUACUGCAUUAGGAGAAACUGGGAUUUCACUGCAGGAUGAAAUUAUUCACGUUAGUUUUGUUACUGAGAGCUUCUGCAACCCAGUACAAAAAAGGCUAAGAAAAACAGAUGAAGCUUUUAAAUGGACAGAUGGACAGAUGUUUUGGGCACGUGAAUGCAGAAGAACAAUGGAGUAUGACAAACUCACAGCCACACCCACAAACAUAAAGAAGAAAGAAAAGUAACAUAAACUGUGGAGGGGUAAUUGUGACCAGCUAAUCCUUUAUGUCUUUAUUCUAUGUGUGAACUCUGAAGUCAUAAGUCAUGUUAGUUUAGUGCUCAACUGUUUUCUACUCUGUGUUUGCCAUUAGAGGCUCAUUAGGCAUCAGCAUGUGGGAAAAGAUCUUUCUGUCAGUCGACACCUUAAUAUUUUUUCCCAGCAUCGACUUCUUCCAUCCAUAAUGAACAGUAUGUCAGAGCAAUAACCAUUGCUGGACUGUCCAUGUCUUAAAAGAACUGUCACCUAUACUAGGAAAUUAAGCUUGGUUUUAACCACUUAAAAGAAAUCAGUGUUAUGGAAUUGUGUAGCUAGAUACGUUUCAGUUCUCCAAAGACAGGUGCAGAAAUAAGUCUCCUGAAGGGUCCUGAAUGCUGACAUCUAGGUUGUAUAGUGUUAUGCACACAUGUUCGGGCCUUUUUAGGCUUUGGCCAGCAUCGUAACUGGCUAAUGAUGCAAGGCAGAAAGCAAAGCUCCACAUGUCCUACAUGUCCUGAAUGGCAAUACUCCAAAUAAUGUAAAUCAUUACAUCACUUCUUUAUUAUGCCUUGCAUUAUCAAUUUAAAAAGUGUGAAUACUUGAAUACUACCGUGGGAAAAAGCUGGAGGAAGGCUGUGGGAAUUGUGAGAUACAGAUUUUAUUAAUGACUGUUAAUGACUUCACAUGUGAUUUUAAGCAGGUAAUUAGGACUAAAUGCUCAAACUAUCCACUUUACUUCAGAAACCUAAUAUAUCUCAUCAGAUAUUUCGCAAUUAA
rnacentral:lncRNA from 1 species